rnacentral:lncRNA from 1 species
GUUUGAAUUUCUUUACAUUUUCUCUAGGGAAUUACUAAUAGGAAAGCAGAUUUCUGGAGACAUUUAGGACAGUUUUGCCUUCCUGCUAUCAGAUGUUUCAAGCCUGAGGAAGCCAGCCAGAUACAGGAAAAGGACAAAGAAUACGGAGAAGAUGGAACCAUCAGGAAAUUUGACCUGAAUUCAGGGAUAGCUUCUGGACAAGAGAAAAUGCAUUUCUUGGUGAGUUUAUUGUUGACUGAAAA